GGGUUGUGAGGUUAAGCGACUAAGCGUACACGGUGGAUGCCCUGGCAGUCAGAGGCGAUGAAGGACGUGCUAAUCUGCGAAAAGCGUCGGUAAGGUGAUAUGAACCGUUAUAACCGGCGAUGUCCGAAUGGGGAAACCCAGUGUGAUUCGUCACACUAUCGUUAACUGAAUACAUAGGUUAACGAGGCGAACCGGGGGAACUGAAACAUCUAAGUACCCCGAGGAAAAGAAAUCAACCGAGAUUCCCCCAGUAGCGGCGAGCGAACGGGGAGCAGCCCAGAGUCUGAAUCAGCUUGUGUGUUAGUGGAACGGUCUGGAAAGUCCGACGGUACAGGGUGAUAGUCCCGUACACCAAAAUGCACAGGCUGUGAACUCGAAGAGUAGGGCGGGACACGUGGUAUCCUGUCUGAAUAUGGGGGGACCAUCCUCCAAGGCUAAAUACUCCUGACUGACCGAUAGUGAACCAGUACCGUGAGGGAAAGGCGAAAAGAACCCCGGCGAGGGGAGUGAAAAAGAACCUGAAACCGUGUACGUACAAGCAGUGGGAGCACCUUCGGGUGUGACUGCGUACCUUUUGUAUAAUGGGUCAGCGACUUAUAUUCUGUAGCAAGGUUAACCGUAUAGGGGAGCCGCAGGGAAACCGAGUCUUAACUGGGCGUUAAGUUGCAGGGUAUAGACCCGAAACCCGGUGAUCUAGCCAUGGGCAGGUUGAAGGUUGGGUAACACUAACUGGAGGACCGAACCGACUAAUGUUGAAAAAUUAGCGGAUGACUUGUGGCUGGGGGUGAAAGGCCAAUCAAACCGGGAGAUAGCUGGUUCUCCCCGAAAGCUAUUUAGGUAGCGCCUCGUGAAUUCAUCUUCGGGGGUAGAGCACUGUUUCGGCUAGGGGGUCAUCCCGACUUACCAACCCGAUGCAAACUACGAAUACCGAAGAAUGUUAUCACGGGAGACACACGGCGGGUGCUAACGUCCGUCGUGAAGAGGGAAACAACCCAGACCGCCAGCUAAGGUCCCAAAGUCAUGGUUAAGUGGGAAACGAUGUGGGAAGGCACAGACAGCCAGGAUGUUGGCUUAGAAGCAGCCAUCAUUUAAAGAAAGCGUAAUAGCUCACUGGUCGAGUCGGCCUGCGCGGAAGAUGUAACGGGGCUAAACCAUGCACCGAAGCUGCGGCAGCGACACUAUGUGUUGUUGGGUAGGGGAGCGUUCUGUAAGCCUGCGAAGGUGACCUGUGAGGGUUGCUGGAGGUAUCAGAAGUGCGAAUGCUGACAUAAGUAACGAUAAAGCGGGUGAAAAGCCCGCUCGCCGGAAGACCAAGGGUUCCUGUCCAACGUUAAUCGGGGCAGGGUGAGUCGACCCCUAAGGCGAGGCCGAAAGGCGUAGUCGAUGGGAAACAGGUUAAUAUUCCUGUACUUGGUGUUACUGCGAAGGGGGGACGGAGAAGGCUAUGUUAGCCGGGCGACGGUUGUCCCGGUUUAAGCAUGUAGGCUGAUUAUCCAGGCAAAUCCGGAUAAUCAAGGCUGAGGUGUGAUGACGAGGCACUACGGUGCUGAAGUAACAAAUGCCCUGCUUCCAGGAAAAGCCUCUAAGCAUCAGGUAACAUCAAAUCGUACCCCAAACCGACACAGGUGGUCAGGUAGAGAAUACCAAGGCGCUUGAGAGAACUCGGGUGAAGGAACUAGGCAAAAUGGUGCCGUAACUUCGGGAGAAGGCACGCUGGUGUGUAGGUGAAGCCCCUGCGGGUGGAGCUGAGACCAGUCGAAGAUACCAGCUGGCUGCAACUGUUUAUUAAAAACACAGCACUGUGCAAACACGAAAGUGGACGUAUACGGUGUGACGCCUGCCCGGUGCCGGAAGGUUAAUUGAUGGGGUUAUCCGUAAGGAGAAGCUCUUGAUCGAAGCCCCGGUAAACGGCGGCCGUAACUAUAACGGUCCUAAGGUAGCGAAAUUCCUUGUCGGGUAAGUUCCGACCUGCACGAAUGGCGUAAUGAUGGCCAGGCUGUCUCCACCCGAGACUCAGUGAAAUUGAACUCGCUGUGAAGAUGCAGUGUACCCGCGGCAAGACGGAAAGACCCCGUGAACCUUUACUAUAGCUUGACACUGAACAUUGAGCCUUGAUGUGUAGGAUAGGUGGGAGGCUUUGAAGCGUGGACGCCAGUCUGCGUGGAGCCAACCUUGAAAUACCACCCUUUAAUGUUUGAUGUUCUAACGUUGGCCCCUUAUCGGGGUUGCGGACAGUGUCUGGUGGGUAGUUUGACUGGGGCGGUCUCCUCCCAAAGCGUAACGGAGGAGCACGAAGGUUAGCUAAUCCUGGUCGGACAUCAGGAGGUUAGUGCAAUGGCAUAAGCUAGCUUGACUGCGAGCGUGACGGCGCGAGCAGGUGCGAAAGCAGGUCAUAGUGAUCCGGUGGUUCUGAAUGGAAGGGCCAUCGCUCAACGGAUAAAAGGUACUCCGGGGAUAACAGGCUGAUACCGCCCAAGAGUUCAUAUCGACGGCGGUGUUUGGCACCUCGAUGUCGGCUCAUCACAUCCUGGGGCUGAAGUAGGUCCCAAGGGUAUGGCUGUUCGCCAUUUAAAGUGGUACGCGAGCUGGGUUUAGAACGUCGUGAGACAGUUCGGUCCCUAUCUGCCGUGGGCGCUGGAGAAUUGAGGGGGGCUGCUCCUAGUACGAGAGGACCGGAGUGGACGCAUCACUGGUGUUCGGGUUGUCAUGCCAAUGGCACUGCCCGGUAGCUAAAUGCGGAAGAGAUAAGUGCUGAAAGCAUCUAAGCACGAAACUUGCCCCGAGAUGAGUUCUCCCUGAGACUUUAAGUCUCCUGAAGGAACGUUAAAGACGAUGACGUUGAUAGGCCGGGUGUGUAAGCGCAGCGAUGCGUUGAGCUAACCGGUACUAAUGAACCGUGAGGCUUAACCUUACAACGCCGAAG
rnacentral:rRNA from 1 species